AUUGAACGCUGGCGGCAGGCCUAACACAUGCAAGUCGAACGGUAACAGGAAGAAGCUUGCUUCUUUGCUGACGAGUGGCGGACGGGUGAGUAAUGUCUGGGAAACUGCCUGAUGGAGGGGGAUAACUACUGGAAACGGUAGCUAAUACCGCAUAACGUCGCAAGACCAAAAAGGGGGACCUUCGGGCCUCUUGCCAUCGGAUGUGCCCAGAUGGGAUUAGCUAGUAGGUGGGGUAACGGCUCACCUAGGCGACGAUCCCUAGCUGGUCUGAGAGGAUGACCGGCCACACUGAAACUGAGACACGGUCCAGACUCCUACGGGAGGCAGCAGUGGGGAAUAUUGAACAAGGGGCGCAAGCCUGAGGCAGCCAUGCCGGGUGGAUGAAGAAGGCCUUCGGGUGGUAAAGUACUUCAGCGGGGAGGAAGGGAGUAAAGUUAAUACCUUUGCUCAUUGACGUUACCCGCAGAAGAAGCACCGGCUAACUCCGUG
rnacentral:rRNA from 1 species